rnacentral:lncRNA from 1 species
GAGCGGUCAGGCUCUUAAAGACUGCAAGCAAAUAGAUGAAGAUACUGGCUACUUUUCAGUUGUGUUAUAUGAAUAUCAUGUCUUAUUUUUUGUACUUUUCUGUAUUUUUCAAAAUAAGAAUGGAGGUAAUGGUGGGAACUCUGCACCUGUAGAGAUGUUAUAGUUGACUAAUUCCCAAUCAAAUACUAAGCUUUUAUAGAGAUAUUUCUAAAACUUAACAAUGAGUGGAUGGACUUGGCACUCUAUGUAAUGAAAUUAUCUAUUUUAUUAAAAUUUAAAAUGACAGC